rnacentral:rRNA from 1 species
GAUGAACGCUGGCGGCGGGCCUAAUACAUGCAAGUCGAGCGAACGGACGGGGAGCUUGCUUCUCUGCUGUUAGCGGCGGACGGGUGAUGAACACGAGGAUAACCUACCUAUAAGACUGGGAUAAGGUCGGGAAACCGUAGCUAAUACCGGAUAAGAGUUUGAACCGCAUGGUUCAAAAGUGAAAGAGGGUCUUGCUGACACUUAGAGAUGGAUACUCGCUGCAUUGGCUAGUUGGUAAGGUAACGGCUUACCAAGGCAACGAUGCAUGGCCGACCUGAGAGGGUGAUCGGCCACACUGGAACUGAGACACGGUCCAGACUCCUACGGGAGGCAGCAGUAGGGAAUAUUCAGCAAUGGGCCAAAGCCUGACGGAGCAACGCCGCGUGAGUGAUGAAGGACUUCGGCUCGUAAAACUCUGUUAUUAGGGAAGAACAUAUGUGUAAGUAACUGUGCUCAUCUUGACGGUACCUAAUCAGAAAGCAACGGCUAACUACGUG